GUCCUCUCAGGGUCGUACCAGGAGAGUUUCCAGUACUCUACCAGUCUCGACUAUGGGAGGAAGAGUCAUGCAGAGGCAUACGCAUUCUAUUCCUUGCUUGGGCAGCAGCUAGAGAGUGGAAGGCCAUCUGCUACAAGU